rnacentral:lncRNA from 1 species
UUGUGCACCCCAGCUAUAAAUCAAAGUUUCCUUGACACAGCCCAGUGCAAUUAACACAAAUGUUCUCCUGGUGACAAGCCUAUAGGCACAGCCAGUUGGGACCAAAAGCUCUCACACUCGCCUAAUCAAGGACUUAAAGCCCCGAUUGGAGCUUAUAAAUAUGAAGUAGGGCUUUACAUAUGCAGUCCCACUGGCCUAGACAGAGACCGGAUUGGUAGGCCACCAGCCAAUCAGCGCCGGCGAGAACAGAAGCUGCACAGAUUGAGCGGAGCUCGGCAGUUUGGCAGACAGAGCAGAGGAGCAGCCUCAAGGGCUUUUGCGAAGAGAUCAUCGUAAGAUACCUUGCAAACAUCUGUCUUUGCUGAUGGUGCUGCUGUUUAGAAGACUACAGCUGUAGCAUUAUAAUUUAUGUAUUCCUGAAAGGCAGUUGGCCUUACCUCCUGGGAUAUAAAAUGUCACCUCCACUAGACCUAGGCCUGGAAUUUCAACUGUAUUCUUGAACUUGGACAUACCAGUUUUAGAUCAGUUAUGCUAAUCAAAUAAGAAAUAAAUGAGGCAAAUUACGAAAUAUUCUUGGCA